UCUCUAUGAUGAUGAAAACAGAUGACUAGUCCGAUCCAUUCAUUCACUAAAUCAUGAGGACAAAAUGAGGCAAUUGUCUGAGAGAU
rnacentral:snoRNA from 1 species